rnacentral:rRNA from 1 species
GAUGAACGCUGACAGAAUGCUUAACACAUGCAAGUCGAUGGGGAAGUGGUGCUUGCACCAUGGCAACCAUGGCGGACGGGUGAGUAACGCGUAAGGGACUUACCUGCAGGACUGGGAUAACAGGGGGAAACUCCUGACAAGACCGGAUAAUGUCAUGGAGCUGCAUGGCUUUAUGAUGAAAGGAGACGCCUGCGGAGAGCCUUGCGUCCUAUUAGCUAGUUGGUGAGGUAAUGGCUCACCAAGGCGAAGUUAGGUAGCCGGCCUGAGAGGGUGGACGGCCACAAGGGGACUGAGAUACGGCCCUUACUCCUACGGGAGGCAGCAGUGGGGAAUAUUGGACAAUGGGGGCAACCCUGAUCCAGCAAUUCUGUGUGCACGAAGAAGGUUUUCGGAUUGUAAAGUGCUUUCAGCAGGGAAGAAGUAAGUGACGGUACCUGCAGAAGAAGCGACGGCUAAAUACGUG